rnacentral:rRNA from 1 species
CAAGAGUUCAUAUCGACGGCGGUGUUUGGCACCUCGAUGUCGGCUCAUCACAUCCUGGGGCUGAAGUAGGUCCCAAGGGUACGGCUGUUCGCCGUUUAAAGUGGUACGCGAGCUGGGUUUAGAACGUCGUGAGACAGUUCGGUCCCUAUCUGCCGUGGGCGUUGGAAGAUUGAGGGGGGUUGCUCCUAGUACGAGAGGACCGGAGUGAACGCACCACUGGUGUUCGGGUUGUGAUGCCAAUUGCAUUGCCCGGUAGCUAAGUGCGGAAGAGAUAACCGCUGAAAGCAUCUAAGCGGGAAACUUGCCCCGAGAUGAGUCUUCCCUGGGACUUCGAGUCCCCUGAAGGGCCGUUGAAGACGACGACGUAGAUAGGCUGGGUGUGUAAGCGUAGCGAUACGUUGAGCUAACCAGUACUAAUGACCCGAGAGGCUUAACCUUACAACACCGAAGGUGUUUUAG